rnacentral:lncRNA from 1 species
CCGGGGCCGCCGGCCCGCGGCUCUCUCAGCCUCCAUCGCGCCUUCCUGCGGAGCCCGCUGGGCCUGCUACGCCUGGGGCAGCUGGUUCUGGGCGCUGCCUUCUGGGUGACGGUUGCGGCUCAUAAGUACGAGGGGGCGGCCCACUUCGCUCUGUUUGCCGCCGUCCUCAUCUGGCUGCUCACCCUGGCCCUCUUCGGGCUGAGCCUGCUGGGGCGCUGGGAGCUGGUGCCCUGGUUGGGCUCCCGCUGGCUCCUCACCAACCUGGUGCACGACCUGGCACUGGGUGUGGGGCUCUAUGCAGCUGCCACCGGCAUCAUGGGUCAUAAGGCCAAGCAGAGAAGCUUUUGCAACCUGCCGGGCUACAGCCAGCACUGCCUGUACAGUGCCUACCUGAGCGCCUCCAUCUGCGGGGGCAUCACUGCCUGCCUGUACCUCUUCUCGGGGCUCUACUGCCUGUUGCGGCGCUGCCAGGACCAGCGAGACAUCAUCUGACAUCCCGUGCCACUUGGCUCCCCUUCUCAGCCGCAGACAGAACACAGCCUGUCUUUGGGAUGAAAUGACCCUGCCACCCCAUCCCCUCCUGGCUGACUGCACUGCAAUUCCUCCAGAGACUCCUGCACAGACAGAUGGACAGAGGGCUUCGCCGAGCACGGCUUCCCCUGCAGCGCACCGAGACAGCGUGGACACCCAGCCACUGCACAGGCCCUUCUCCCAGCCCUGGACUGACGUAGGCUACUGCAAGUGGAAGGACCCAAAUGAAGAGCCCCUAAGAGGGAUACCAAUCUUUGGGAGCCCCCCUAGGACUCAAGCCAAAAUCCCCUGCCCCUGGUCUUGCCAGUGCUGCAUGCUCAGAGAGGUUUGUGGCUCCAAGCCACCCAGAGCCACUGAACCAGCCCUGCGGCCAGACUACUCCAAAAGGGACAGAAACAGUCUCGCUGAUGGUUCUGGAGACCAGCCUGCAGCCCUGCCUGUCUCUGCUACACUUGGUUUAUCAUCCUGGAAAAUCUUCAUCUCUGGACUCUGUGGGACUGGGCAGUGCCUGGAGACUGUGGUGAGGUGGAGGGGAAGGGUGAGCACUGCAGCAUGGCAGUCUGUGCUGGCACUCUGGCCAUGAGGGAGCUGGGGCCAGGCAUUGUGGGAGCACAACCUAUCUUGGAGAACAGAAGAGGACACUGGCACUGGAGCCAGCCCAGCCCUGGACCAGCCUCCAGAACCCACCAGGUGCCAAGCCCUGACGACGCCAUGUAGGGCUGACUAGAGAAAUGGGCAGCCAGAGACAGAAUUUUUGGAGCAGUGCCACACUAGGGCUGCCCUGCCACAAGCCCUCCUCACCCUGCCUGGAGAGAGGUUUCUAUUGCUCCCGCUUCAAGGGAAGGUCUGCUCCAUUCUCUCUGUAGACUUAGAUCAACGAGAUGGGUGUCCCCAGCAGCUGGCCACAGCUGCCUAUUGCCUGGGGUUCCCUCGCACCUUUUUUGAGGUGGAGAGCAACAGCCAUGGUUCCCCUGGGGCCUUGAAGGGGUCUGGGAUUGGUACUGGGUCACCACUUCCAUCAUGAUGUGCUGUCCCAGUGCAUACCACAUCAUGCUCGGGCGCCCUGCCCAGCCCCAGGCCAUGUACCCCUUCUUUGGGUAGGACAUGCUGUCUGUGCCCUGUGUCAAGGCUGGUCCCUGACACUGCCUGCCUCUGCCUUACUCUGGCACAGCCCUUGGCCUAGGCUGUCCAAAAUGCCCUCGGUGCUUCUGCCACCACAAGUGCCUUCCUGGCUUUCUGCAGCCCUAUCUGUCACACCAGCUCUAUCCCCCUACAGCCUCCUUUCAGGUGCCAAUGGAUUCACCUUCCAAAUAAAGCAAUAUUGGCGCUCACUGGGUGUCUGGGGCUUUGUGCUGGAGCUGGGAUCUGC